rnacentral:rRNA from 1 species
AUUGAACGCUGGCGGCAUGCCUUACACAUGCAAGUCGAACGGUAACGGGCCUUCGGGUUCCGACGAGUGGCGGACGGGAGAGUAAUACAUCGGAACGUGCCCGAUCGUGGGGGAUAACGAGGCGAAAGCUUUGCCAAAACCUCAUACGAUCUAAGGAUGAUAGCCGGGGUCCGCAAGGCUUAGCGCGGACGGAGCGGCCGUUGGCAGAGUAGGUAGUUGGUGGGAUAAAAGCUUACCAAGCCGAAGUCCUGUAGGUGGUGUGAGAGGAUGAUCAGCCACACUGGAACUGAGACACGGCCCAGACUCCUACGGGAGGCAGCAGAGGGGAAUUUUGGACAGUGGGCGCAAGCCUGAUCCAGCCAUGCCGCGUGGAGGAGGAGGGCCUUGGGGUUGUAAACUCCGUUUGUAGGGAACAAAAGGCGUUCUGGUAAUACAGGGGGGUCAUGACGGUACCGUAAGAAUAAGCACCGGCUAACUACGUG